rnacentral:rRNA from 1 species
AGCCGAAGUGGGUUGGAACGCCCCGCCAUAGAGGGUGAUAGCCCCGUAGGCGGAACCAGAUGAGAUGGUGACCGCUUCCCGAGUACCAUGGGUUGGAUAACCCGUGGGAAGCUGGGGGUCAUCUACCUCCAAAGCUAAACACGUCCUGAGACCGAUAGCGAACUAAGUACCGUGAGGGAAAGCUGAAAAGUACUGCUGGCGCGGGGUGAAAAGAGCCUGAAACCAGGCGGUCAUAGGAGUGGUGGCUCGAAAGGGCUGAAUCUCCGCGAAGGAAACGGUGGCAACACCGGAGUACGAGCGGAGAGGACCGGAGUCGCCACGUACGUCUUGAGUCACGAGCCGAGGAGUUCACGGGCGUGGCGAGCCUAAGGGGUUCAACCCCGGAGGCUCAGGGAAACCGAGUGCCACGCAGCCAGCUUGUCUGGCAAGGUGGCCGCCUCUGAAAGGGGGCCAGUCACGCCCGUGAGACCCGAAGCCGGGCGAUCUAUCCCUGGGCAGCCCGAAGCCGGGUUACAAGCCCGGUGGAGGGGCAUAGGGGUGGUGAGGUGCAAAUCCCUCCCGUGACCCGGGGAUAGGGGCAAAAGACCAAUCUAGCCCGGCGAUAGCUGGUUCCCGCCGAAGCCUCCCGUAGGAGGGCCUCCGCGGAGGGGCGAGGGCGCGGUAGGGCAACGAUUGGGUGGCAAGGGGCUAUGUGCCUCACCAUCCUUUCGAACCACGAAUGCGCCCUCCCCGGAGAAGCGGGGAGUCGGGCAGUGGGGGGAAGCUCCACUGCCGUGAGGGGAACAACCCAGACCAGGGUUAAGGCCCCUAAGUUCCGGCUAAGUGCCGAAAUCCGAAGGGCGUCCUCCUCCUAAGACAGCGGGGAGGUAGGCCUAGUAGCAGCCAUCCUUUAAAGAGUGCGUAAAAGCUCACCCGCCGAGGAGGGGGGCCCCGAAAAUGAGUCGGGGCUAAAGCCGGGCGCCGAUACCCUGGCGGUCUCCUCGGAUGAGGGGGCCGGGUAGGCGGGCGUCCAUACGGGGUAGAAGUCGGGGCGUGAGCUCCGGUGGACCCGUAUGGAUCGUGGAUCUCGGCGGUAGUAGCAGCAAACUGGGGUGAGAAUCCCCAGGGCCGAAAGCGCCAGGGUUUGCUGGCGAUGCUUCGUCAGCCAGCAGUUAGUCGGUCCUAAGGCGGCGCGUAAUUCGUAGCCGCCGAAAGGGAAGCCGGUUAAUAUUCCGGCACCACCGGGGUAGGUGCGGCAACGCAAGCCUCGUUCCCGACGCCUCUGGCUAGGCCAGGCAGGGGCGGGUGGAUACCCGCGACCUGUCCAAGCGCUGAAGGCCGCUGAGUACCGUAAUGGUGAGAGGCGGCUGAAGGCGUGAUGGGGCCGCUUGUGCGGCUCUGGCUGAUGCCAGGGGACCGUGAAAAGGGAACGGGGAACGAUCCCCGGUGACCGUACCGAGAACCAACACAGGCGCGCUGGCUGAGAAGGCCAAGGCCUGUCGGACCAACGCGGGAGAGGGAAAUCGGCAAACUGGCCCCGUAACUUCGGGAUAAGGGGUGCCCGCACUCCUGGGCUUCGGCCUGGGUCUGCGGGUCGCAGUGACAAAGGGCGCCUGACUGUUUAACAAAAACAUAGCUCCCCGCUAGCCCGAAAGGGUGUGUACGGGGGGUGAGACCUGGCCAAUGCCGGUACCUGAAACCCGGGUUCAACCGGGCGAAGGGCCGGUGAAAGCCGGGAGUAACUCUGACUCUCUUAAGGUAGCCAUAUGCCUUGCCGAAUAAAAAUCGGCGUGCAUGAAUGGUCUAACGAGGUGCCCGCUGUCCCCUCCCGCGGUCCGGUGAACCCACACCUCGGUUCAAAGUCCGAGGCGUCCCAGAGGGGAGAGAAGACCCCGUGGAGCUUCACCGCAGCCUGGCCUUGCGGUAUGGCUGGGGAUGCAGAGGGUAGGCGGGAGCGAUGUGCCAGUCCUCCAGGGGACUGGUGAAGCGCCGAUGGAACACCGCCCUUCCUCAGCUGUACCGCUAACCCAGGGUCCACCCUGGGGACAGGGCUUGGUGGGCGGUUUGGCUGGGGUGGCACGCCCCUGCAAAGGUAUCAGGGGCGCCCUAAGGCGGGCUCAGGUGGGUCAGAAACCCGCCGUGGAGGGCAAGGCCAAAUGCCCGCCUGACUGGAUCCCUAAAAGCGUGGGAUCCAGGGGUGAAAGCCGGGCCUAGCGAACACUCGUGCCCCCCUAGAUGGGGGCCGGGUACGACAGAAAAGUUACCCCGGGGGUAACGGAGCCGUGCCGGGUGAGAGUCCACAUCGGCCCCGGCGCUUGCUUCUUCGUUGUCGGCACUGCCUAUCCUGGGGGUGCAGUAGCCCCCAAGGGUGGGGAUGCUCGCCCAUUAAAAGGCAACGUGAGCUGGGUUCAGAACGUCGCGAGCCAGUUCGGUUUCUCCCUUCUGGGACUGCGAGGCCGCCUGAGGGGAAGG